GUGUUGGUAGCUUAGUGGUUAAAGAGCUGGGCUAGCUAGCCAGAAAAGUUGUGGGUUCAAUUCCCAGCUUCCACC
rnacentral:tRNA from 1 species